rnacentral:rRNA from 1 species
UACGGAGGUGGCGAGCGUUGUUCGGAAUCACUGGGCGUAAAGGGCGCGUAGGCGGGCGGAGAAGUCGCGUGUGAAAGCCCCGGGCUCAACCCGGGAACGGCGCGCGAGACUCUCCGUCUUGAGUUCCGGAGAGGCGGGUGGAAUUCCUGGUGUAGCGGUGAAAUGUGUAGAGAUCAGGAGGAACACCGGUGGCGCAGGCGGCCCGCUGGACGGUGACUGACGCUGAGGCGCGAAAGCGUGGGGAGCAAACGGG